rnacentral:rRNA from 1 species
GACGAACGCUGGCGGCGUGCCUAAUACAUGCAAGUAGAACGCUGAAGAGAGGAGCUUCCUCUUCUUGGAUGAGUUGCGAACGGGUGAGUAACGCGUAGGUAACCUGCCUUGUAGCGGGGGAUAACUAUUGGAAACGAUAGCUAAUACCGCAUAACAAUGGAUGACACAUGUCAUUUAUUUGAAAGGGGCAAUUGCUCCACUACAAGAUGGACCUGCGUUGUAUUAGCUAGUAGGUGAGGUAAUGGCUCACCUAGGCGACGAUACAUAGCCGACCUGAGAGGGUGAUCGGCCACCAUGGGACGGAGAAACGGCCCAGACUCCUAAGGGAGGGAGCAGGAGGGAAUCUUCGGCAAUGGGGGCAACGCUGACCGAGCAACGCCGCGUGAGGGAAGAAGGUUUUCGGAUCGUAAAGCUCUGUUGUAAGUCAAGAACGGGUGUGAGAGUGGAAAGUUCACACUGUGACGGUAGCUGACCAGAAAGGGACGGCUAACUACGUG